CCGCCCUGUUAACCGGACUCCUUCAACAGAACCCGUCGUCUUCCCCCUGGCCAUUCUCAACAGAUGACGCGCGUUGCUCGCGCAUCUCUGGACUCGAUUCCCUCUGGCUGAAGUCCGAGGCUUCAGCAAUAUAAAGGGGGGUGGAGGGCACCGCAGCCACCCCAUCCACUCGGUGCCCGUCGGCCACCUCGGGCAAAGCCAAGCGCCCCCACUAAGCAUCCAGGAAAGAGAGAACCGAGAAAGAGAGAGAGAGAGAGAGUUUCACUGUCGGUCAGAGAUGACGAUGGAGCUUGUCCGUGACGCGCGUCACCGGACCUCGGCAUCGGGCUAGGGAGAUCGGCAAGUUCGCGCUGGACGCAGGGGGUGUUCCCUGUGCUUACAGCGUUGGGAGGGCACCGCGUUAUCACCGCGCGAAGAAGAUCGAGUGGGACUGCCGUAGUGCGUCGCUGCUCGUCCCUGGGCUGAGCCACGCGAUGAGAUCACGUGGAUCUGAAG
rnacentral:lncRNA from 7 species